rnacentral:rRNA from 1 species
GGGCCCGCACAAGCGGUGGAGCAUGUGGUUUAAUUCGAUGAUACGCGAGGAACCUUACCAGGGCUUAAAUGUAACGGGACAGAUCUAGAGAUAGAUCCUUCUUCGGACUCAUUACAAGGUGCUGCAUGGUUGUCGUCAGCUCGUGCCGUGAGGUGUCAGGUUAAGUCCUAUAACGAGCGCAACCCCCAUCGUUAGUUGCCAACGAGUAAUGUCGGGAACUCUAACGAAACUGCCGGUGCAAACUGUGAGGAAGGUGGGGAUGACGUCAAAUCAUCACGGCCCUUACGUCCUGGCUACACACGUGCUACAAUGGCCGGUACAGAGAGCAGCCACUUCGCAAGAAGGAG